rnacentral:rRNA from 1 species
UCGGGUUGUAAAGCACUUUUGUCCGGAAAGAAAACCGCUGGGUUAAUACCCUGGCGGGAUGACGGUACCGGAAGAAUAAGCACCGGCUAACUACGUGCCAGCAGCGCGGUAAUCGUAGGGUGCGAGCGUUAAUCGGAAUUACUGGGCGUAAAGCGUGCGCAGGCGGUUCGUUAAGACAGAUGUGAAAUCCCCGGGCUUAACCUGGGAACUGCAUUUGUGACUGGCGGGCUAGAGUAUGGCAGAGGGAGGUAGAAUUCCACGUGUAGCAGUGAAAUGCGUAGAGAUGUGGAGGAAUACCGAUGGCGAAGGCAGCCUCCUGGACCAAUACUGACGCUCAUGCACGAAAGCGUGGGGAGCAAACAGGAUUAGAUACCCUGGUAGUCCACGCCCUAAACGAUGUCAACUAGUUGUUGGGGAUUCAUUUCCUUAGUAACGUAGCUAACGCGUGAAGUUGACCGCCUGGGGAGUACGGUCGCAAGAUUAAAACUCAAAGGAAUUGACGGGGACCCGCACAAGCGGUGGAUGAUGUGGAUUAAUUCGAUGCAACGCGAAAAACCUUACCUACCCUUGACAUGGUCGGAACCCUGCUG